rnacentral:rRNA from 1 species
UCAGACGAUGCGUCAUGCAUAUCAAUAAGCGGAGGAAAAGAAACUAACAAGGAUUCCCCUAGUAACGGCGAGUGAAGCGGGAAGAGCUCAAAUUUGAAAUCUUAAAGGGUUUCCCUUUACGAAUUGUAGUUUAAAGAAGUGUUUUCUGUUGAGGUCUUGGUAAAAGUUCUUUGGAAUAGGACAUCAUAGAGGGUGAGAAUCCCGUAUUUGACCUUUACUUUCAACUUUGUGAUACACUUUCAAAGAGUCGGAUUGUUUGGGAAUGCAGUCCAAAAUGGGUGGUAAAUUUCAUCUAAAGCUAAAUAUUGGCGAGAGACCGAUAGCGAACAAGUACCGUGAGGGAAAGAUGAAAAGAACUUUGAAAAGAGAGUUAAACAGUACGUGAAAUUGUCAAAAGGGAAGCGUUUGACACCAGUGUUGUUUUUCUGAAAAUCAAUUAAAGAACUGUUUAUGCUAAGUUGUUUAGACUUUAUCAGCUAACUGUUUAGUUUUGAGCUUUUCUUUAAUGCACUUUUCAGUUAACAAGUCAACAUCAAUUUCUUUUGCCUGUAAAAAAGCUUGAGGAAGGUGGCUUGAGAUUCGUCUUAAAGUGUUUAUAGCCUCUUGCCUAUGCAGUCGGAGAGAUUGAGGUCUGCAGCGUAGAUCCUUCGGGGCUAAAUGCAUUUGUGCUAAGUUAUAGCAUUUUAUAGACAACUUGUUGACUAUGAUUUGUCUUGUAGCUUACUCGCUUAUGUUAUUUUACCUACGCUUAGGAUGUUGACACACGCGCGUGCUCG